GGGAAGCUUGAGAAGCCCCUUCAAGGGGAAGAGGACUGUGAUGAAGCAGUAGGUAAAUUUGUGAAGGGCCGUGGAAGCCUUUUGGAAUGACAUGUGGAAAGUGAUAUUGUGCCACAGAGGAAAAUAUGGCAAAAAUGGGAAAUCACCAUUUCACUGAAACAAGAUUGGACUCAAGCUACUAUGCAGAGAGAGACAGAUGGAGAAGAGUUGAGGUUUGAGCUCUGGGUUGCUCUGCUUGAAGUGAAGAAUGACCAUAAUUUGGGUUAGGAUAGUAAUCUCCAAUCCAUAGGCCUUUCAACAACAGCAAACUGGAUCUCACCAUAAGAGGGGAACUAGUUCUAUUAGAACAUACCUUAGUCUUGCAUUUAAAAAAAUUUUUUUGGAGUUCCCGUUGUGGCUCAGUGGUUAACGAAUCUGACUGGAAACCAUGAGCUUGCAGGUUCGAACCCUGGCCUUGCUCAGUGGGUUAAGGAUCCGGCGUUGCUGUGAGCUGUGGAAUAGGUUGCAGACGUGGCUCGGAUCCUGCAUUGCUGUGGCUCUGGCGCAGGCUGAAGUCUACAGCUCCAAUUACACCCCUAGCCUGGGACCCUCCAUAUGCCUUGGGAGCAGCCCCAGAAAAGGCAAAAGGCAAAAACAAAUUUUUUUUUAUUAUGCUUGAUGUACAAUGGUCUGUCAAUUUCUGCGGUACAGCCAGGCAACCCAGUCGUAUAUAUGUAUACAUUCUUUUUCUUGUAUUAUCUUCUAUCAUGUUCUGUCGUAAGUGAUUGGAUAUAGCUCCCUGGGCUAUACAACAGGACCUCAUUGCUUAUCCAUUCAAAAUGUAAUAGUUUGCAUCUACUAACCCCCAACUCCCAGUCCACCCCACUCCCUCCCCCUUCCCCUUGGCAACCACAAGUCUGUUCUCUAUGUCCAUGGGUUUGUUUCUGUUCUGUAGAUGGGUUCAUUUGUACCAUAUUUUCGAUUCCACAUAAUAAGGGAAAUCACAUGAUAUUUGUCUUUCUCUUUCUGACUUAGUUCCAUCCAUGUUGCUGCAAGUGGCAUUAUUUUGUUCUUUUUUUAUGGCUGAGUAGUAUACCAUUGUAUAUAUAUACCACAUCUUCUUAAUCCAUUCAUCUAUCAAUGGACAUUUAAGUUGUUUCCAUGUGUUGGCUAUUGUGAAUCGUGCUGCAUUGAACAUAGGGGUGCAUGCAUCUGUUUGAAUUAUAGUUUUGUCUGGAUAUAUGCCUAGGAGUGGGAUUGCUGGAUCAUAUGGUAGUUCUACAUUUAGUUUUCUGAAGUACCUCCAUACUGUUUUCCAUAGCGGUUGUACUAAUUUACACUCCCACCAAUAGUGUAGGAGGGUUCCCUUUUCUCCACACCCUCUCCAGCGUUUGUUAUUUGUAGACUUACUAAUGCUAGCCAUUCUGACCAUUGUGAGGUGAUACUUCAUUGUAGUUUUGUUUUGCAUUUCUCCAAUAAUUAAUGAUGUUGAGCAUUUUUUUUUUCAUGUGCCUAUUGGCCACCUGCAUGUCUUCUUUGAGAAAUGUCUAGAUCUUCUGCCCAUUUAUCAGUUGUAUUUUUGCUCUUGAGUUGUAUGAGUUGUUUAUAUUUUUGGAGAUGAAGACUUUGUCAGUUGCAUCAUUUGUAACUGUUUCUCCCAUUCCAUGGGUUGUCUCUUUGGUUUUGUUUUAUGCUUGCUUGCUUUUUUUUUUUUUUUUUUGCUUUUUGGGGCUCCAUGGCAUGUGGAGAUUCCCAGGCUAGGGGUAGCAUGUGGAGAUUCCCAGGCUAGGGGUCAAACCAGAGCUACAGCUCCUGGCCCACACCACAGCCACAGCAAUGCGGAAUCCGAGCCGCAUCUGCAACCUCCUAUGCCACAGCCACAGCAACACCAGAUCUGAGCUGCACUGCAGCUUGUGACAAUGCCGGAUCCUUUAACCAACUGACUGAUGUCAGGGAUCAAACCCACAUCCUCAUGGAUUCUAGUUGGAUUCUUAACCCGCUGAGUUAACGACAGGAACUCUGAAAGUCACACAUGUUAAAUCCAUACAUGCACAUGUUUCUUUACCCCCCACCGCUUCUCACUCAGGGUGAAGCUAGUCUCCUGCCUUUUUUCUCUAGAUCUCAUGUUUCCAGAUUCUAUGCUCAGUCUCUUUUAGGAAAAUAGAGCUGGGUGAGCUGGGAGGCAUCCUUUUAUUUGCCGAUUGCCAGAAGGAGGAUGAACGAUCCUGUCAGACACUCACUGAUGGCCCAUUGUCUGCUAGGCCUGGGCUAUGGUGAAAAGUACACAGCCCCCAUCUCCAGGGCCUCGGGAGCUCCCAAGGAGUAGGACAAGGAGGACAGGUGCUGGGGUGAAGAUGACACUCCCUGGGCUGUGUCUGGGAGCAGCCAGAUGGGCCAAGCUUAGACCUGAUCUUACCGGGGGUAAGAGAGGCUUCCUGGAAGAAGAGCCCCCCUGGGCCACCUCUUGUUGGAUAAGCCGGGUGGCAAGGGGAGCUGGGAGCUGAAGGGGAAAGAGCAGCACUGCAGAAAGCACACUUGAGAGAGUGCUUUAUUCAGCUUUUGGGGACUCUAUAUUUACUUUUUUUUGUUUUGUUUUGCUUUUUUAGGGCGUAUGGAAGUUCCCAGGCUAGGGGUCAAAUCAGAGCUGCAGCUGCUGGCCUAUGCCACAGCCACAGCAAUGUGGGACCUGAGGCUUGUCUUUGACCUACACCACAGCUCGUGGCAGCACUGGGUCCCCAACCUGCUGAGCAAGGCCAGGGUUUGAACCUGCAUCCUCAUGGAUACUAGUCAGAUUUGUUUCUGCUACACCACAAUGGGAACUCCCUAUUUUUACUUUUUAAAUUGAGUUACAACGUACAUAUAGUAAAGGGUACAGCUCUUGGUUUUGUAGCUCUUCACUCUUGUAACCCACCACCCAGAUCAAAAUAUGGGACAUUUCCAGUCUCCCUGUACUCAUUCUAGUCCAUAGGUCUUGCUCGCACAGGGGGACGCCAUGCUUACCUCUGUCACCAUAGAUUGAUUUUCACUGGGGACUUUUUAGACUGUAAACUUCUUGAACAAAAGUAUUUAUCCUGGAGUUCCCACUGUGGCACAACUGGAUUGGUGGUGUCUCUGCAAUGCCAGGGCACAGGUUUGAUUCCAGGUCCAGUGCAGUGGGUUAAGGAUCUGGCGUUGCUGCAGCUGCAGUGUAGGUUGCAACUGCGGCUUGGAUCUGAUCCCUGGCCCAGGAACUCCAUACACAGCCAAAAAAGAAAAGAAAAAAAA
rnacentral:lncRNA from 9 species